rnacentral:rRNA from 1 species
AACGAACGCUGGCGGCAUGCCUAACACAUGCAAGUCGAACGAGACCUUCGGGUCUAGUGGCGCACGGGUGCGUAACGCGUGGGAACCUGCCCGUAGGUUCGGAAUAACUCCCCGAAAGGGGUGCUAAUACCGGAUAAUGUCUUCGGACCAAAGAUUUAUCGCCUUUGGAUGGGCCCGCGUUGGAUUAGCUAGUUGGUAGGGUAAAAGCCUACCAAGGCGACGAUCCAUAGCUGGUCUGAGAGGAUGAUCAGCCACACUGGGACUGAGACACGGGCCAGACUCCUACGGGAGGCAGCAGUGGGGAAUAUUGGACAAUGGGCGAAAGCCUGAUCCAGCAAUGCCGCGUGAGUGAUGAAGGCCUUAGGGUUGUAAAGCUCUUUUACCCGGGAUGAUAAUGACAGUACCGGGAGAAUAAGCACCGGCUAACUCCGUG